CAGCAGCCGCGGGAAUACGUAGGGUGCGAGCGUUAAUCGGAAUUACUGGGCGUAAAGCGUGCGCAGGCGGUUAUAUAAGACAGAUGUGAAAUCCCCGGGCUCAACCUGGGACCUGCAUUUGUGACUGUAUAGCUAGAGUACGGUAGAGGGGGAUGGAAUUCCGCGUGUAGCGGUGAAAUGCGUAGAUAUGCGGAGGAACACCGAUGGCGAAGGCAAUCCCCUGGACCUGUACUGACGCUCAUGCACGAAAGCGUGGGGAGCAAACGGGAUUAGAUACCCGCGUAGUCCCUGUCUCUUAUAC
rnacentral:rRNA from 1 species